GGCAGAGCAUCAUGUUCCAGGGAGCUGGAACCUUGGCUGUCACACCUUGUGACCCAGGCCUUGCGGCAUGUGAGUGCUCUCUAAGGAUUACUUCUUGGAGGAAUUUGAGGCUAUCAACUGACUCUGUGCCAUGUCUUUCUGACUCUCAACCCUUGUGGUGCUGUAUAACAUCUGCCAUCCACACCAGGGACCAAGGACAAGGAUGGCCAUAUUGCAAGCUCCCUGGGUCAAGAAGGCCUGAAGUGACUUGGAAAGUAUCCCGGUGGGUGGCUGUGAGUGUGAAAGCAGAAGCCCAGCAUUUUAUUCCUGCCUCGCUCCAUGCUGAGUCUUCCUUCUCUCAAAUGCAUUGUACCAAGAUGCCUUGCUGGAGAACAUGAUGAUAGAUAUACUUUCAAGUUCUUCUGGAAAUACCUUCUGGAAAUAAUGUCUCCCUUCCCAGUCAAAGCAGGAUUGGAAAACAUCUUGUCUUCACUCUGACUUCUGUGGCGAAGUCAGACUCAAAGACAAAAAUAAAACCAAGAGAAAAGGCCAAGAGUGUCCUCUUGCGUGUCCUUCCAACAUCCUUCUCUGGAGUGAGAGGGAACCCUCAUGGAAGGGAGAGGGUUGGAAGUAUGGUGUGAUGUUUUGGUGUCUGAUACUUUGAGUUUCCUUU
rnacentral:lncRNA from 1 species